rnacentral:lncRNA from 1 species
UGUCAACCUGAUUUUUAAUGUUCUCCAGUAUGCCUCAGCAGUUGUGUAGAUUCUAGGGAAAGCUGUGCUGUCUGGCUGACAGAAACAUCAUGUUUUAUUCUCACCUUUUGUUUUCUUCCUUUUAGGUCCGUUAUGCUUCUGUUAUUGGCAGGACAGCCAGAGGAGGCAGACAGGACCUUUGAUGCCUGGCAAGCUGUACCACUGGGAGGUAAAGGAUGGAACUCAUGCUGUUAGCUUUUGAUUUGCUCUUCCUGCCACAUUAAGUAUACAGCUCAGGAAUGAUUGUGCUGGAGCAUAGUUAGCAAAUGGUCGAU